UGGGGAAUAUUGGGCAAUGGAGGCAACUCUGACCCAGCAAUGCCGCGUGAGUGAAGAAGGUCUUCGGAUUGUAAAGCUCUGUGGAGAGGGACGAAAAAAAUGACUGUACCUCUAAAGCAAGCCACGGCAAACUACGUGCCAGCAGCCGCGGUAAUACGUAGGUGGCGAGCGUUGUCCGGAAUGACUGGGCGUAAAGGGUGCGUAGGCGGUUUGUCAAGUCUGGUGUUAAAGCCCGAGGCUCAACCUCGGUUCGGCAUUGGAUACUGGCAAACUAGAAUGUGGUAGAGGUAAAGGGAAUUCCUGGUGUAGCGGUGAAAUGCGUAGAUAUCAGGAGGAACAUCGGUGGCGAAAGCGCUUUACUGGACCAUUAUUGACGCUGAGGAACGAAAGCCAGGGGAGCAAAUG
rnacentral:rRNA from 1 species